rnacentral:rRNA from 1 species
GCGCGCGUAGGUGGCUUGAUAAGCCGGUUGUGAAAGCCCCGGGCUCAACCUGGGAACGGCAUCCGGAACUGUCAGGCUAGAGUGCANGAGAGGAAGGUAGAAUUCCCGGUGUAGCGGUGAAAUGCGUAGAGAUCGGGAGGAAUACCAGUGGCGAAGGCGGCCUUCUGGACUGACACUGACACUGAGGUGCGAAAGCGUGGGUAGCAAACAGGAUUAGAUACCCUGGUAGUCCACGCCGUAAACGAUGUCGACCANCCGUUGGGUGCCUAGAGCACUUUGUGGCGANGUUAACGCGAUAAGUCNACCGCCUGGGGAGUACGGCCGCAAGGUUAAAACUCAAAUGAAUUGACGGGGGCCCGCACAAGCGGUGGAGCAUGUGGUUUAAUUCGAUGCAACGCGAAGAACCUUACCUACCCUUGACAUCUACAGAAGCCGGAAGAGAUUCUGGUGUGCCUUCGGGAACUGUAAGACAGGUGCUGCAUGGCUGUCGUCAGCUCGUGUUGUGAAAUGUUGGGUUAAGUCCCGUAACGAGCGCAACCCUUGUCCUUAUUUGCCAGCACGUAAUGGUGGGAACUCUAAUGAGACUGCCGGUGACAAACCGGAGGAAUGUGGGGACGACGUCCAGUCAUCAUGGCCCUUACGGGUAGGGCUACACNCGUGCUACAUUGGCCGGUACAAGGGCGGCGAGCUCCCGAAAGUCAGCGAAUCCCUUAAAGCCGGUCUCAUCCGGAUCG